GAUGAACGCUGGCGGCGUGCCUAAUACAUGCAAGUCGAGCGAACGGACGAGAAGCUUGCUUCUCUGAUGUUAGCGGCGGACGGGUGAGUAACACGUGGAUAACCUACCUAUAAGACUGGGAUAACUUCGGGAAGCCGGAGCUAAUACCGGAUAAUAUUUUGAACCGCAUGGUUCAAAAUUGAAAGACGGUCUUGCUUUCACUUAUAGAUGGAUCCGCGCUGCAUUAGCUAGUUGGUAAGGUAACGGCUUACCAAGGCAACGAUGCAUAGCCGACCUGAGAGGGUGAUCGGCCACACUGGAACUGAGACACGGUCCAGACUCCUACGGGAGGCAGCAGUAGGGAAUCUUCCGCAAUGGGCGAAAGCCUGACGGAGCAACGCCGCGUGAGUGAUGAAGGUCUUCGGAUCGUAAAACUCUGUUAUUAGGGAAGAACAUAUGUGUAAGUAACUGUGCACAUCUUGACGGUACCUAAUCAGAAAGCCACGGCUAACUACGUG
rnacentral:rRNA from 1 species